rnacentral:rRNA from 1 species
GUUGACCUCGGAUCAGGUAGGAAUACCCGCUGAACUUAAGCAUAUCAAUAACGGGAGAGAACAAGAA